rnacentral:rRNA from 1 species
UACGUAGGUGGCAAGCGUUGUCCGGAAUUAUUGGGCGUAAAGCGCGCGCAGGCGGUCCUUUAAGUCUGAUGUGAAAGCCCACGGCUCAACCGUGGAGGGUCAUUGGAAACUGGGGGACUUGAGUGCAGGAGAGGGAUGUGGAACUCCGGGAGUAGCGGUGAAAUGCGUAGAGACCCGGAGGAACACCAGUGGCGAAGGCGGCAUCCUGGUCUGCGACUGACGCUGUGGCGCGAAAGCUAGGGGAGCGAACGGG